rnacentral:rRNA from 1 species
AUUGAACGCUGGCGGCAUGCCUUACACAUGCAAGUCGAACGGUAACAGGUCUUCGGAUGCUGACGAGUGGCGAACGGGUGAGUAAUACAUCGGAACGUGCCUAGUAGUGGGGGAUAACUACUCGAAAGAGUGGCUAAUACCGCAUGAGAUCUACGGAUGAAAGCAGGGGAUCGCAAGACCUUGUGCUACUAGAGCGGCCGAUGGCAGAUUAGGUAGUUGGUGGGAUAAAAGCUUACCAAGCCGACGAUCUGUAGCUGGUCUGAGAGGACGAUCAGCCACACUGGGACGGAGACACGGCCCAGACUCCUACGGGAGGCAGCAGUGGGGAAUUUUGGACAAUGGGAGCAAGCCUGAUUCAGCAAUGCCGCGUGCAGGAUGAAGGCCUUCGGGUUGUAAACUGCUUUUGUACGGAACGAAAAGCCCUGGGUUAAUACCCUGGGGUCAUGACGGUACCGUAAGAAUAAGCACCGGCUAACUACGUGCCAGCCGCCGCCGUAAUAC